GCCGGGAUCGCCUAGCCAGGUAUGGCGUCGGAUUGCUAAACCUGUUUGCGCGGGUGCGGAUAUCCGAUGGGCCUUAGGCCCUCGUGGGUUCAAAUCCCACUCCCGGCG
rfam:Crenarchaeota archaeon 13_1_20CM_2_51_8 13_1_20cm_2_scaffold_105036, whole genome shotgun sequence.